UACGUAGGGUGCGAGCGUUAAUCGGAAUUACUGGGCGUAAAGGGCUCGUAGGUGGCCAACUAAGUCAGACGUGAAAUCCCUCAGCUUAACUGGGGAACUGCGUCUGAUACUGGAUGGCUUGAGUUUGGGAGAGGGAUGCGGAAUUCCAGGUGUAGCGGUGAAAUGCGUAGAUAUCUGGAGGAACACCGGUGGCGAAGGCGGCAUCCUGGACCAAUACUGACACUGAGGAGCGAAAGCCAGGGGAGCAAACGGG
rnacentral:rRNA from 1 species